rnacentral:rRNA from 1 species
AUUGAACGCUGGCGGCAUGCCUUACACAUGCAAGUCGAACGGCAGCGGACCUUCGGGUGCCGGCGAGUGGCGAACGGGUGAGUAAUAUAUCGGAACGUACCUUUCAGUGGGGGAUAACGUAGCGAAAGUUACGCUAAUACCGCAUAUUCUGUGAGCAGGAAAGCAGGGGAUCGCAAGACCUUGCGCUGAUUGAGCGGCCGAUAUCAGAUUAGCUAGUUGGUGAGGUAAAGGCUCACCAAGGCGACGAUCUGUAGCGGGUCUGAGAGGAUGAUCCGCCACACUGGAACUGAGACACGGUCCAGACUCCUACGGGAGGCAGCAGUGGGGAAUUUUGGACAAUGGGCGCAAGCCUGAUCCAGCCAUGCCGCGUGAGUGAAGAAGGCCUUCGAGUUGUAAGACUCUUUCGGUCCGGGAACGAAAUACGCACAGGUUAAUACCCUGUGUGGAUGACGGUACCGGAAUAAGAAGACACCGGCUAACUACGUAG